rnacentral:rRNA from 1 species
AGUGAACGCUGGCGGUAGGCCUAACACAUGCAAGUCGAACGGCAGCACAGUAAGAGCUUGCUCUUACGGGUGGCGAGUGGCGGACGGGUGAGGAAUACAUCGGAAUCUACUUUUUCGUGGGGGAUAACGUAGGGAAACUUACGCUAAUACCGCAUACGACCUACGGGUGAAAGCAGGGGAUCUUCGGACCUUGCGCGAUUGAAUGAGGCGAUGUCGGAUUAGCUAGUUGGCGGGGUAAAGGCCCACCAAGGCGACGAUCCGUAGCUGGUCUGAGAGGAUGAUCAGCCACACUGGAACUGAGACACGGUCCAGACUCCUACGGGAGGCAGCAGUGGGGAAUAUUGGACAAUGGGCGCAAGCCUGAUCCAGCCAUACCGCGUGGGUGAAGAAGGCCUUCGGGUUGUAAAGCCCUUUUGUUGGGAAAGAAAAGCAGCAGGUUAAUACCCCGCUGUUCUGACGGUACCCAAAGAAUAAGCACCGGCUAACUUCGU